UUCUAGCGUCCUACGUAAACCAGU
rnacentral:siRNA from 1 species